rnacentral:snRNA from 1 species
CUCUAAUCAAGAGCCCCUUUUGGCUAAGGUCAAGUGUAGUAUCUAUUCUUAUCAGUUUAACAUCUGAUACAUCCUCCAUCCAAGGACAAUAUAUUAAAUGGACUGUUGGAGCAGGGAGAUGGAACAGAAGCUCGCUCCGCCCACUCCACACAUUGACCUGGUAUUAUAGCGGCAGCAGGAAUAGUGCACCCCUU